rnacentral:rRNA from 1 species
ACUGCUCAGUAACACGUGGAUAACCUGCCCUAGGGAAGGGGAUAACCCCGGGAAACUGGGGAUAAUACCCUAUAGAUUACAGAUGCUGGAAUGCCCUGUAAUCCAAAGUUCCGACGCCCUAGGAUGGAUCUGCGGCCGAUUAGGUUGUUGUUGGGGUAAUGGCCCAACAAGCCCGUAAUCGGUACGGGUUGUGGGAGCAAGAGCCCGGAGUUGGAUUCUGAGACACGAAUCCAGGCCCUACGGGGCGCAGCAGGCGCGAAAACUUUACAAUGCGGGCAACCGUGAUAAGGGAACCUCGAGUGCCUGUAAAUGCAGGCUGUUCAGGUGCCUAAAACACACCUGAAGAAAGGGCCGGGCAAGACCGGUGCCAGCCGCCGCGGUAAUACCGGCGGCUCGAGUGGUGGCCGCUUUUAUUGGGCUUAAAGCGUUCGUAGCUGGGUUGUUAAGUCUCUUGGGAAAUCUGGCGGCUUAACCGUCAGGCGUCUAAGGGAUACUGGCAAUCUUGGAACCGGGAGAGGUGAGGGGUACUUCGGGGGUAGGAGUGAAAUCCUGUAAUCCUCGAGGGACCACCUGUGGCGAAGGCGCCUCACCAGAACGGCUUCGACAGUGAGGGACGAAAGCUGGGGGAGCAAACCGGAUUAGAUACCCGGGUAGUCCCAGCCGUAAACUAUGCGCGUUAGGUGUAUCGGUGACCACGAGUUACCGAGGUGCCGAAGGGAAACCGUGAAACGUGCCGCCUGGGAAGUACGGUCGCAAGGCUGAAACUUAAAGGAAUUGGCGGGGGAG